rnacentral:pre_miRNA from 1 species
GGGCUCUCUGAGCUCAUGCCAACGUCAGGGAAAGGAUUCUGCUGUCGGUCCCACUCCAAAGUUCACAGAAUGGGUGGUGGGCACAGAAUCUGGACUCUGCUUGUGGCAUCCAUCGUCUGGCCCGAU